GCACCCGUAGCUCAGGGGAUAGAGUGUUGGCCUCCGAAGCCAAAGGCCGCUGGUUCGAUUCCAGCCGGGUGCGCCA
rnacentral:tRNA from 1 species